AUAUACUUUUUAUACGCCCGUAUAAAAUACGGGACGUAUUAUGUGAAACCCCUUGGCGGCGGGCGGCGGGCGGCGGGCGGAAGGCAUCACUUUGUCCGGACUCUAAUUCAAAUUGUAUUCAUCCGAUCUUCACCAAACUUGGUCAGCAGUUGCAUCUAGUUGAUAUCUAGGCCAAGUUCGAAUAUGGGUCAUGCCGGGUCAAAAACUAGGUCAUAGGGUCAAUAAGUGCAUUUUCAACGGCGCCACUUUGUCCGGACUCUAAUUCAAAUUGUAUUCAUCCGAUCUUCACCAAACUUGGUCAGAAGUUGUAUCUAGACAAUAUCUAGGUCAAGUUCGAAUAUGGGUCAUGCCGGGUCAAAAACUAGGUCACAGGGUCACUUAGUGUAUUUCAAGCAUUUAGCAUGGUGUCCGCUCUCUAAUUGAAGUAGUUUUCAUCCGAUCUUCACCAAACUUGGUCAGAAGUUGUAUCUAGACAAUGUUUAGGUCAAGUUCAAAUAUGGGUCAUGCCGGGUCAAAAACUAGGUCACAGGGUCACUUAAACCAUUUCAAGCAUUUAGCAUGGUGUCCGCUCUCUAAUUGAAGUAGUUAUCAUCCGAUCUUCACCAAAUUUGGUCAGAAGUUGUGUCUAGACAAUAUCUACAUGUAGGUCAAG